ACGCUAGCUACAGGCUUAACACAUGCAAGUCGAGGGGCAGCAUGGAAGAAGCUUGCUUCUUCUGAUGGCGACCGGCGCACGGGUGCGUAACGCGUAUCAAACCUGCCUCAUACUCGGGGAUAGCCUUGCGAAAGUAAGAUUAAUACCCGAUGUUGUUAUGUUACCGCAUGGUGAUAUAACCAAAGAUUUAUCGGUAUGAGAUGGUGAUGCGUCCGAUUAGGUAGUAGGCGGGGUAACGGCCCACCUAGCCUUCGAUCGGUAGGGGUUCUGAGAGGGAGGUCCCCCACACUGGAACUGAGACACGGUCCAGACUCCUACGGGAGGCAGCAGUGAGGAAUAUUGGUCAAUGGACGGAAGUCUGAACCAACCAAGUAGCGUGCAGGAUGACGGCCCUCCGGGUUGUAAACUGCUUUUAGUUGGGAAUAAAAAAGAGGACGUGUCCUCUAUUGUAUGUACCUUCAGAAAAAGGACCGGCUAAUUCCGUGCCAGCAGCCGCGGUAAUACGGAAGGUCCAGGCGUUAUCCGGAUUUAUUGGGUUUAAAGGGAGCGUAGGCGGAUUAUUAAGUCAGUGGUGAAAGACGGUGGCUCAACCAUCGCUAGCCAUUGAAACUGGUAGUCUUGAGUGCAGACAGGGAUGCUGGAACUCGUGGUGUAGCGGUGAAAUGCUUAGAUAUCACGAUGAACUCCGAUCGCGAAGGCAGGUGUCCGGGCUGCAACUGACGCUGAGGCUCGAAAGUGUGGGUAUCAAACAGGAUUAGAUACCCUGGUAGUCCACACAGUAAACGAUGUAUACUCGCGGUUUGCGAUACAAUGUAAGCCGCCAAGCGAAAGCAUUAAGUAUACCACCUGGGGAGUACGCCGGCAACGGUGAAACUCAAAGGAAUUGACGGGGGCCCGCACAAGCGGAGGAACAUGUGGUUU
rnacentral:rRNA from 1 species